GUUUUCGUAAAAUUUGUUUUUCUGUACAUCUGUUAUUUGUAUUGCCUUUAUAUCUAUUGUUUGAAUUCUCUGUAUAUCUUUUGUACGAAUUCUACAUGUCCUGUUUGUAACUCUGAUAUCCAUAUGUAUCUCUUUUAUUGUAUCCACUUCUGUUCUGGUCAUAAAUUGACCUCACCGAAUAGGCAUUCUUGCAAGACCUGAAUAUUUGUUAAUACAAGAUGUAUUUUACAUGGAUAUUAAUGUGUGUAUAAUAUAUUGUUUGGUAAGGUUGGCUCAUUACUAUUUGGAUGAAACCUUUGUGUAAAAUUUCAUUUUUGGUUAAAUAAAAGCGCUUUUCAUACACCC
rnacentral:lncRNA from 1 species